rnacentral:rRNA from 1 species
CCCCGCAAGGGGUAAGUAGAGUGGCAAACGGGUGAGUAACACGUGGGUGAUCUGCCUCAGAGUGGGGGAUAACGACCCGAAAGGGUCGCUAAUACCGCAUAACAUCCUGCCUUUGGAUAGGUGGAGAUCAAAGUUGGGGAUCCGCAAGGACCUGACGCUUGGAGAGGAGCCCGCGGCCGAUUAGCUAGUUGGUGAGGUAACGGCUCACCAAGGCGACGAUCGGUAUCCGGCCUGAGAGGGCGGACGGACACACUGGGACUGAGACACGGCCCAGACUCCUACGGGAGGCAGCAGUGGGGAAUUGUUCGCAACGGGCGCAAGCCUGACGACGCAACGCCGCGUGGAGGAUGAAGAUCUUCGGGUCGUAAACUCCUUUCGAUCGAGACGAACAGCCUCCGGGUGAACAAUCCGGAGGUCUGACGGUACCGAGAGAAGAAGCCCCGGCUAACUCCGUGCCAGCAGCCGCGGUAAUACGGGGGGGGCAAGCGUUGUUCGGAAUUACUGGGCGUAAAGGGCUCGUAGGCGGCCAACUAAGUCAGACGUGAAAUCCCUCGGCUUAACCGGGGAACUGCGUCUGAUACUGGAUGGCUUGAGUUUGGGAGAGGGAUGCGGAAUUCCAGGUGUAGCGGUGAAAUGCGUAGAUAUCUGGAGGAACACCGGUGGCGAAGGCGGCAUCCUGGACCAACACUGACGCUGAGUGAGCGAAAGCCAGGGGAGCAAACGGGAUUAGAUACCCCGGUAGUCCUGGCCCUAACGAUGAAUGCUUGGUGUGG